CACCAGUCGGUGAUCACUUUGUAAAGUUGAAGGAUAUUUGUGCCGCUAUGCUUGCAGCAACGAGAGGACGAAAAACAGCCAAAGAAGGUGUAACAUGAGAUGGCCCAAAAGAAGGAGGAGGCGGGCAUGGGCUCUGGCUUUGAAGAGAGAGAGAGAGGUUUGUGCCAAAACAACGCUGAUCUGAUGCUGCCACUUACCUCCUGAGCAAACUGUUCGGCUGAGAGAGCCAUCAAUUUCAACUUCAACUUCCCCAAACACUUGUCCAAGGGUAGUUCCAGUCCUGUGUUCCAUUCUUCAUGGAGGGCAUGGGGUGACUGUCUGCGUUUGUGACCCUCCAGUCAGCAUUGAGUUGACGGGCUACAGACACUUGCAGUUGGAGAACAGGCUGUGAACUGCUGAUAUCCUGCGUCCUUCAGCACAGUGAGCGCCAGUGCCACAGAUCAACGCAAUGUUUGAGCUGCCACAGACACCGUCAUC